rnacentral:tRNA from 1 species
CCGGAUAUAGCUCAGUUGGUAGAGCGGUCGACUGUAGAUCGAUUGGUCACCUGUUCAAAUCAGGUUGUCCGGA